rnacentral:rRNA from 1 species
GACGAACGCUGGCGGCGUGCUUCACACAUGCAAGUCGAACGGAAAGGCUCCUUCGGGAGUGCUCGAGUGGCGAACGGGUGAGUAACACGUGGGUAACCUGCCCCCAUCUCUGGGAUAACCGCUGGAAACGGUGGCUAAUACCGGAUAUUACUGCUGGUCGCAUGGCCUGGCGGUGGAAAGCUUUUGCGGUUGGGGAGGGGCUCGCGGCCUAUCAGCUUGUUGGUGGGGUGAUGGCCUACCAAGGCGGUGACGGGUAGCCGGCCUGAGAGGGCGGUCGGUCACAUUGGGACUGAGAUACGGCCCAGACUCCUACGGGAGGCAGCAGUGGGGAAUUUUGCACAAUGGGCGAAAGCCUGAUGCAGCGACGCCGCGUGAGGGAUGACGGCUUUCGGGUUGUAAACCUCUUUUAUCCAUGACGAAGGCAUGCUUUUUGGUGUGUUGACGGUAGUGGUUGAAUAAGCGCCGGCUAACUACGUGCCAGCAGCCGCGGUAAGACGUAGGGCGCGAGCGUUGUCCGGAUUUAUUGGGCGUAAAGGGCUCGUAGGCGGUUCGUCGCGUCUGCCGUGAAAAACUACAGCUUAACUGUGGUUUUGCGGUGGAUACGGGCGGGCUUGAGGCCAGUAGGGGAGAUCGGAAUUCUACGUGUAGCGGUGAAAUGCGCAGAUAUGUGGAGGAACACCGGUGGCGAAGCGGAUCUCUGGGCUGGUUCUGACGCUGAGGAGCGAAAGCAUGGGGAGCGAACAGGAUUAGAUACCCUGGUAGUCCAUGCUGUAAACGGUGGGCGCUAGGUGUGGGGUGGCAUUGGUUCACUCUGUGCCGUAGCUAACGCAUUAAGCGCCCCGCCUGGGGAGUACGGCCGCAAGGCUAA